rnacentral:rRNA from 1 species
AUUGAACGCUAGCGGGAUGCCUUACACAUGCAAGUCGAACGGAGUGGCGAACGGGUGCGUAAUGUAUCGGAACGUGCUCAGUAGCGGGGGAUAACUACGCGAAAGCGUAGCUAAUACCGCAUACUAUUGGAGCGGCCGAUAUCGGAUUAGCUCGUUGGGGGGGUAACGGCUCACCAAGGCGACGAUCCGUAGCUGGUUUGUGAGGACGACCAGCCACAAUGGGACUAAGAACCGGCCCAGACUCCUACGGGAGGCAGCAGUGGGGAAGUGUGGACAAUGGGGGAAACCCGGAUCCAGCCAUCCCGCGUGAGCGAUGAAGGCCUUCGGGUUGUAAAGCACUUUUGGCAGGAAAGCGGUACCUGCAGAAUAAGCACCGGCUAACUACGUGCCAGCAGCCGCGGUAAUUC